rnacentral:rRNA from 1 species
AUGCAAGUCGAACGGCAGCACGGGUGCUUGCACCUGGUGGCGAGUGGCGAACGGGUGAGUAAUACAUCGGAACAUGUCCUGUAGUGGGGGAUAGCCCGGCGAAAGCCGGAUUAAUACCGCAUACGAUCUACGGAUGAAAGCGGGGGACCUUCGGGCCUCGCGCUAUAGGGUUGGCCGAUGGCUGAUUAGCUAGUUGGUGGGGUAAAGGCCUACCAAGGCGACGAUCAGUAGCUGGUCUGAGAGGACGACCAGCCACACUGGGACUGAGACACGGCCCAGACUCCUACGGGAGGCAGCAGUGGGGAAUUUUGGACAAUGGGCGAAAGCCUGAUCCAGCAAUGCCGCGUGUGUGAAGAAGGCCUUCGGGUUGUAAAGCACUUUUGUCCGGAAAGAAAUCCUUGGCUCUAAUACAGUCGGGGGAUGACGGUACCGGAAGAAUAAGCACCGGCUAACUACGUGCCAGCAGCCGCGGUAAUACGUAGGGUGCGAGCGUUAAUCGGAAUUACUGGGCGUAAAGCGUGCGCAGGCGGUUUGCUAAGACCGAUGUGAAAUCCCCGGGCUCAACCUGGGAACUGCAUUGGUGACUGGCAGGCUAGAGUAUGGCAGAGGGGGGUAGAAUUCCACGUGUAGCAGUGAAAUGCGUAGAGAUGUGGAGGAAUACCGAUGGCGAAGGCAGCCCCUGGCCAAUACUGACGCUCAUGCACGAAAGCGUGGGGAGCAAACAGGAUUAGAUACCCUG